rnacentral:rRNA from 1 species
GAGUUUGAUCAUGGCUCAGGACGAACGCUGGCGGCGUGCUUAACACAUGCAAGUCGAACGGAAAGGCCCCCACUUUUUUGGUGGGGGUGCUCGAGUGGUGAACGGGUGAGUAACACGUGGGUGAUCUGCCCUGUACUUCGGGAUAAGCUUGGGAGACUGGGUCUAAUACCGGAUAGGACCAUGGUUUAGUGUCUCAUGGCGGAAAAAUAUUGUUUUGGUGCAGGAUGAGCUCGCGGCCUAUCAGCUUGUUGGUGGGGUAAUGGCCUACCAAGGCGUCGACGGGUAGCCGGCCUGAGAGGGUGGACGGCCACAUUGGGACUGAGAUACGGCCCAGACUCCUACGGGAGGCAGCAGUGGGGAAUAUUGCACAAUGGGCGCAAGCCUGAUGCAGCGACGCCGCGUGGGGGAUGACGGCCUUCGGGUUGUAAACUCCUUUCGUUAGGGACGAAGCCGCACCUUUUUUUGGGUGUGGUGACGGUACCUUUGUUAAGAAGCACCGGCUAACUACGUGCCAGCAGCCGCGGUAAUACGUAGGGUGCGAGCGUUGUCCGGAAUUACUGGGCGUAAAGAGCUCGUAGGUGGUUUGUUGCGUCGUCUGUGAAAUUCCGGGGCUUAACUUCGGGGUGGCAGGCGAUACGGGCAUAACUAGAGUGCUGUAGGGGAGACUGGAAUUCCUGGUGUAGCGGUGGAAUGCGCAGAUAUCAGGAGGAACACCGAUGGCGAAGGCAGGUCUCUGGGCAGUAACUGACGCUGAGGAGCGAAAGCAUGGGGAGCGAACAGGAUUAGACACCCUGGUAGUCCAUGCUGUAAACGGUGGGCGUUAGGUGUGGGGACCGGUUUGGUUUCUGUGCCGUAGCUAACGCAUUAAGCGCCCCGCCUGGGGAGUACGGCCGCAAGGCUAAAACUCAAAGGAAUUGACGGGGGCCCGCACAAGCGGCGGAGCAUGUGGAUUAAUUCGAUGCAACGCGAAGAACCUUACCUGGGUUUGACAUGCACCAGACGGUUGUAGAGAUACGUACCUCCCUUUGUGGUUGGUGUGCAGGUGGUGCAUGGUUGUCGUCAGCUCGUGUCGUGAGAUGUUGGGUUAAGUCCCGCAACGAGCGCAACCCUUGUCUUAUGUUGCCAGCACUUUGGGUGGGGACUCAUGAGAGACUGCCGGGGUUAACUCGGAGGAAGGUGGGGAUGACGUCAAAUCAUCAUGCCCUUUAUGCCCAGGGCUUCACACAUGCUACAAUGGUUAGUACAACGCGCUGCGAACCUGUGAGGGUGAGCGAAUCGCUGAAAGCUAAUCUCAGUUCGGAUUGGGGUCUGCAACUCGACCCCAUGAAGUCGGAGUCGCUAGUAAUCGCAGAUCAGCAAUGCUGCGGUGAAAUACGUUCCCGGGCCUUGUACACACCGCCCGUCA